AGCAGUUGGGUCGUAGCUCGAGCAGUCAACAACCGACAGCUCAAGCAGUCGACGCCGACCGCUCGAGCGGUCCGUGUAUUUCACUCAGCCGCUAACUGCUCGAGCAGUCCGUGUACGGCGGCCCUUAAUUUUCAGUUCACACAGUUCACUAGCCAACACUAAUCUGUCAAGUAGGAAGCUUUGGCAGUCAAAAAUAAGAUGCUCCAUGGUUCCUUCUUGUGAUUCACAAUGGGGGCACGUAUUACUCGUAAUAAUCCCAAGUCUAGCAAGGUGUGACGGUGCAGUAUUAUGGCCAAAGCGCAAUCUAUUUAACGUAGUGAUAAAGUCUCGGCUGGCUUCUUUCAGUCUAUUGUACCAGGGUCUAACAGGAAAUCAGUCAUCGGAAUUUCCAUUGCAUUUCUAACAUUAACAGCAUUAUUACCAUCAUAUGCGGUUUUAUCAGCUAUUUCAUUGCCAGAGAUGCCUCGGUGAGAUGGUACCCACAGGAACGCAAUUUCGAUAUGCUUAAGGUCAAAGAUUAAAGAAGUGAAGCUGUCAGCACAACUUCGUCCUCGACGAAAUCCAUAUUGAACAUGUGGAAUGAUGCUGUUAGAUUCCAUAUACCAAUCUAAACGAUUUUUGAUCAUGUUUUCAAAUAUUUUCCCUAGACAUGAGGAGAGUGAUAUUGGUCUAUAAGAGCUGGCCAACUUUGCAGGUUUAUCUGGUUUGAGUAUUGGAAUGACACAUUGUGUUUUCCAUGACUGUGGAAUACGUUUACAAUGCCAAAGGAGAUUAAGAACAUUAAGAAAUAUUUUUUGCGCAGAUUCAUCUAAAUUUUAAUAAUACAAUAUGGAAAAUCAUCUAAACCAGGUGUAGUGUCUCUCCGAGAUAUCAAACUCAUGUUAAAUUCUGACCAUGUAAAAGGAUGUAAUAAAAAUUUUGAAUUUAGA